rnacentral:rRNA from 1 species
GACGAACGCUGGCGGCGUGCCUAAUACAUGCAAGUCGAACGCAGUGGGGACGGGUGAGUAAAACGUGGGUAACCUCCCAUCAGAGGGGAUACCACUUGGAAACCGGUGCUAAACCGAUACUUAUUGAUGGACCCGCGGUGCAGUAGCUAGUUGGUGAGGUACCGGCGCACCUAGGCCACGAUGCAUAGCCAACGUACGGAGGUGAUCGCCCAAACUGGAACGGAGACACGGCCCAAAGUACUAGGUGAGGCAGCAGUAGGGAAGCUACGGCGAUGGACGAAAGUUUGACCGAGCAACGCCGCGUAAGGAAAGAAUGUUUUCGGAUAGCAAACCUCUGUUGGUAGAGAAGCGGUAUGUAAACAGAAAGCCACGGCUAACUACGUGCCAGCCGCCGCGGGAAUUC